GUAUCUCUGGUGUAAAUAGCAUGCGCGCCUUCCAAGCGUGAGGUCUUCUUAGUUGAAGGGGGUGUA
rnacentral:tRNA from 1 species